AAAUUGAAGAGUACCACGGGAAUGCUGUAUCGCCAUAGCAAGUGCUGCUUGUGCUUCUAGUGUCUCAUGGAUUUUUAAUCAUAUGAGCCUCCAUACAGAGUCAUGCAAAGAGGUUCAGAGAAGAACACAGAAAGUGGCCACCAUCAGGAUGAAGAACCCAACAAGUCAGACUGGUGAGAAGAGAAAAACAAAAUGCAGCUUUCAAGGUUCACUUCAAGCAAUUGGCUUGUGGGACUCUGAGAGAUGCUGUUGCCCAUGACAUGUUGGAAUUACCAUGAUCAACUACCCAGUUUGGAUUUCACCCAGUGGCCAGGAGCUUUGCAUGGUAGACAGCAAGGGUUGGAUUUUUAAGAAGAGUAAACCAGGUAAGAUUUGAGGAAGGCAUCUGAUCAUUUAUCACUUGCUCUAAGGGCUUUAGUGUGUUGCCAAGAUGUACUGAAUAAUUCAUAGCUUUUCUAUUUAUUUUCUAAGUCCACUGAACAGGUUGUUGUAGAAUGUUACUCCCUUGAAUUUAGGAGAAUGUAUAUAGUAAUAAUUGAGUCCAUUUUUUCUCAAGAGGAGAGAGGAGUUAUUUUAAGAUACACAUAAAGCAGACACAAGAUACUAUGGAUACAGGGUAAUGCAAUAGCCAAAAAUUGCAAGCUAAGGACAUUUCCUCCUUAAGAAACUACUCUGAACUAUAAUGGGAUAAGCAGUUGUACUUUUGAAGAUGCUAUAGGGAAAGUGUUGCUAUUAACUAGCUGUCUUUUACACAAUAUAGAUAUAUAUGUAUCAGUUUAUGGUGUAUAAUCUUAUAAAUAUGCCUCAGGAUUACUCUAAUUUAGAAUAAUACCAUUAUUCUGCCUUUUAUUUAUUUGUAAGUAUUUAUCACUUUAAUUUCUGUUCACCUAAGUAUUCUUUAAAAUGGUGAUACAAUGAGAUACUUCAUUAUUACUGCGGCUCCUAGAAUUUAUAAUGUUGUACUUUCAUUCAAGUAUUCUCUUUGCUACUUUUAUCUAUUGAUU
rnacentral:lncRNA from 1 species